rnacentral:lncRNA from 10 species
UCCCCAGCUGGAAGCAUGAGAAGAUUUUUCUCUGAUAUUCACUGUGAGGACCUGGUAGAACUCCUGGAGGGAUCCCAGCUAAGAACUCAGAAGAGUAGCAGAAAAAUUAUUCUCUCCCCUACAAUUACAUGUUUUGUUCACUUUAUAUAUGAAAAUUAACUGAUUUAUUUGUUUACAUCCAUAUACUUUUUCUGAAUGUAUGUUUAGUUCAACACAAAUAACAUUUCAAAAAUAAUUGGAAUAGAAGGAAAAUAAGAUAGAAAGGAAUAUCAGCAUUGAAAAAGGAAUGGGAAGUAGUGGAAGAGUGUCAAGGGAAAGUAGUCUGGGAGCGGGGUACUUGGCAUCUAGGGAUCUGCAAUCUAAGCAAUGCUGUGUGAGGGCUCUAUGGUAUCACUUGGUACCUUUCAUAGCCUUUUGUAGAUUAAAUGCUCCCAGAAUCUUCCACCCAGACUUCGGCUGUAUUUUGCUGUUGUUGAGAAUGAAGUUACUUUAUUUACUCUAAAGAAUUAGGACAAUUUAGAGCUAUUUAUCAGCCAGAAGUAGUCAAAUCCUUGACUUAUUCUGGUUCUUGGACUGUUUUAUGGUUAUAAGUCCAUUUUAUCUCUAGGUAGCACAUACUUCUAGAUGCAUAAAUUUAAUUUGUAAUGCUUGGACUAAUGUGCUAACAAAAUGGAUGCAUUCUCCUAAUAUAUAAAAAUACUGUUUUAGAUACAGCAUAUAUAAUCUAUUUGGAAUGUAGAUAAAGACUUUAUUACUAACAAGUUUUUUAAAAAAAUGUUGUCAUCUCUUGAUAAUUUUCUUUUCUUUGAACUCCUCCAAUGUUAGUCUUUAACUCACAUUAUUUACCAAUAAUUUAUAGUCUAUCUUGAGUUGUUGGCUGGUUUUGUUUUUUCCCCCCAAAACAAAAAAGUGUUGUAGUCUUGACUCCCCAUCUAGAUCAUGAACUAUUUGGAUUCAGUAUCCAUAUAUUAUAAUCUUUCCAAAAAUUCCCUAACCUUGGAUUUGACUUAUAGUAAGUGUCCAGUUUUCAGUGAUUAGUGGCCAGGUACUCUCAUGCUUAAGUCAGAUGAGGAAAGACUGUGGUCUUGGACAAUUGGAAGGAAAUUUUUUGGCAGCAUUUAAGAAUAAAACAGGCAUUCUUCUACUUAUAUUUUUAAAAAGAAUCAAAGAAGUGAACUGGAAAAAUCAUGGCAGUCUCUAUGGGUUCUAUGGCCUGUGUAUGUGACAAAAAUAAAUGAUUUAAAUAAUUAGGCAAAUUAUUGUUUGGCCUAUCCAAUAGCAAACAACCCAUUUAACUUUUUUUUAAAAUUGACUAAAUUACCCAAUUGUUUCAUCUCUGUGUAGCCAGAGCCUGGGUUUCUAUUGAUGAAACUAUAUUUUAUGCUCAUGCUCUGAAACAGCUGUAGUUCAGCAAUUUGAAAUAACUUAAUGAGGUAUUGAUUGUGUCUGUUCAGCAUGCACUGAAACAACGACUAAAACUGUGGAAGGCAACAUCAUAAAUGAAGAGGGAGAAGGAAAGGUGAAUUUCUAAUGAAUACACGAGAUGAGUUCCUAUCAACUUGACUAUUUGAAUUGGAUGCUUUAGAAUUAGAGAAAUGAAUUAUUUAAUUGUAGAUGAAGAAUAUGAGUUCAUUUUGCUCAUUUGGAAUUUGGAAUCAGAACUGAAUCACAUACAGCUCAGGAAACAUAAAAGAAAAAACUAGCUCAGAGAUGAAUCGUAGUGGCAAGUUUUUUCAAGCCAAUUUUUAGUUGUUCAAACUAGAAGAAAUGGAGAACCUUAGAGUAGAAAUAAGGCUCUAGGGAAAGGAAAUAAAAGAAUUGUUCCUUUUGCAUGUUUCCUAAAUACUCCCUGGUGGCUCUUAAUGAGCUGCUCGAUUGCAUGUUGGCUCUGGAGUUGCAUGGAGCUCUGCCAUAAAUUAGUGAGAUGGAGAGAAUUUGAAUGAGAGUAUUGCAGAAGGCAGCACACUGGAAACCUUUCCCCCAUAUUCCAUUUGGCUAAAAUCUGAUUCUGUGGAUGCAUCAUUGGCAGUCUCAGGGCUAUCUCCAAGUUACCCAACUUUGCAAAUAACUUUCUGCAAUCACUGGGCCAACAACUAUGCUAACACGUAAAUUUACCUUGACUGGGUACAUUUACUUAAACAACUUCCCCAGUUCCUUCCCAGUCACUGCCAUCUUCUUUCAUUAAGAAAACCCGGCCAUUGAUCAUUUGUCUGAAUGAAAUAAAUAUGGUGUUUCCUAUGAACACAGAAUGAAAUAAAUAUGAUAUUUCCUAUGAACAUAGAGUGCGUCUACUACAAAACAGAUGAGAAACAGAAAUGAUGGUACAGUGGAUCACAAGAGGAAAUAGUCCUAAAGCAAAGCAGCAGAGAUUAGAGGGUUGUAAGGAAGAAUUUCCAGAGAUGUGCAUACAAAGAGGCCAUCUGGGUGAAGGAA